UAGGGAAUCUUCCACAAUGGACGAAAGUCUGAUGGAGCAACGCCGCGUGAGUGAUGAAGGGUUCGGCUCGUAAAACUCUGUUGUUGGAGAAGAACGGGUGUCAGAGUAACUGUUGACAUCGUGACGGUAUCCAACCAGAAAGCCACGGCUAACUACGUGCCAGCAGCCGCGGUAAUACGUAGGUGGCAAGCGUUGUCCGGAUUUAUUGGGCGUAAAGCGAGCGCAGGCGGUUUUUUAGGUCUGAUGUGAAAGCCUUCGGCUUAACCGGAGAAGUGCAUCGGAAACCGGGAGACUUGAGUGCAGAAGAGGACAGUGGAACUCCAUGUGUAGCGGUGAAAUGCGUAGAUAUAUGGAAGAACACCAGUGGCGAAGGCGGCUGUCUGGUCUGCAACUGACGCUGAGGCUCGAAAGCAUGGGUAGCGAACAGAUUAGAUACCCUGGUAGUCCAUGCCGUAAAACGAUGAGUGCUAAGUGUUGGAGGGUUU
rnacentral:rRNA from 1 species